rnacentral:rRNA from 1 species
CUAGUAAUCGCGCAUCAGCCAUGGCGCGGUGAAUACGUUCCCGGGCCUUGUACACACCGCCCGUCAAGCCAUGGGAGCCGGGGGCGCCUGAAGUCCGGGACCGCGAGGACCGGCCUAGGGCGAAACUGGUAACUGGGGCUAAGUCGUAACAAGGUAGC